rnacentral:rRNA from 1 species
UACGUAGGGUGCAAGCGUUGUCCGGAAUUAUUGGGCGUAAAGAGCUCGUAGGCGGUCUGUCGCGUCGGACGUGAAAAUCCAGGGCUCAACCCUGGACCUGCGUUCGAUACGGGCAGACUAGAGUUCGGUAGGGGAGACUGGAAUUCCUGGUGUAGCGGUGAAAUGCGCAGAUAUCAGGAGGAACACCGGUGGCGAAGGCGGGUCUCUGGGCCGAAACUGACGCUGAGGAGCGAAAGCGUGGGAGCAAACAGG